CCAACCACCACCAACGCGUCAUCCGAAGAUGGACAGGUCGCAGCCUCCAGCCAGGAGCGACGGGUGCUGAGGCGCAGGCGAGGAGCGCCCGUCACAGGUGCUACUUGAGCCGCUGCUCCAGGUUUGGUGCUAGACAUGGGAUGUGCUUGGUCGUGUCCUUUCUUCGACUAUGCACCUUGGCGACCACUUGAGCAGCAGUGCAGCACCAUGCCCCAGUGAUCUCCUUAACUUGGCUAGAAACAACCUGGCGGCGCAAGAGAAGGCGCCUUCUAGCACGAAGCUUCGGGCAACAAGAACUUCACCGGGAAAGAGACGAUUUGCCGGCCACUAUGGAUGAGAAUGAGGUCUACGACCGAGCCUCGCUUGGAUCUACAUCAUCGGUAAACAAAAUAAUCCAUCCAGAUAUCCAGGUUAGUCAGACUUCACCGCCCUCUUUGCCGGUAGCUUCACUCUCUGCAGAUAUCAUGUUCAUCCAAAAAAAUAAAUUAAACAAUUAGAUAAGAUAGUUCCAAACUGUCUUUGUUAUAAAAAACCUACACUGUAUCUGCAUAUGUGUGCCUAUAUUCUUAUUCUGGGCGUACUACUCUGAUUCCAAAGCAUAUAGUGAGGUAGAUCAAUCCAAACACUUAAUUUAUGUCUUACUCAUUCAAAGAUGAUACAGAUCGGUCCAGCCACUGUAAGGGUGCCAGCCAGAAUGAUGCUUAAUCUACUGUUAGAGCAGCUUAACAUACCUGACACCAUUUACCGUGGAAGGCAAUACUCACAGGACAGUCAUUGUCACGGUGCUCUUCUACACCUCUACAUAGAUUAAUGGAAUCAAUCCGCCGCAGAUGACAAUUACUGGUGUUUGCUCUGCCAAUCAGGAAGUGGCAGAAGAUUCUGCAGCUGUGGCAGCCAUCAGGUACAUGGAAAACGCUACAAACACUGUCGUGAUGGAUCUAAACUAUGCAUGGUUUAAAAGGAUGCAGCAAGACAAUGGUUAUUUGAGACUUAGACUUGACGAGGCGUUUGAGGCGAUAGGCAAACUUUCUAAAGGCAGCUUAAUUGCGCUCAGAUACAUGUGUGCCUUCUCGGAUCAGCUUCACUACGUUAUCGAACAUGGCUUUCCACCUACUCGUGUUAUAAUAGACAAAACCACCAAUUAAACCCUUGUGAAUAUUGAAGUGGUGGUGAAUAAUCUGAAGGACAGAAGCUGCCAUUUGGAGAAAAAACUAUGCACGGCCAAAAGACAGGCUCAAGCACGAGAGCAUGAGAUAUUCGCACCGUUCAUUCGCCAGCGAUGACCAGCCAGUGCCAAGAACAACUUGCUUCGGCGCUAUUGAUGCUACCACUCAAUGAACUGGGUUCACGUUUUGGAGCAGUGCCUACCUCUGGAUAUUAUGUUUCAUCAAAACUGCUUCUGCUUGAUGCCUAAGCCUUUUGUACUAAUACCUACUCCCGAAUGUUAUGUUGCAUCAAAAUGAUGCUUAGUAUGAAAAAAUGGCAGUCUCUGUUAGCCCUGUA